UGAGGAAUAUUGGUCAAUGGACGAAAGUCUGAACCAGCCAAGUAGCGUGAAGGAUGAAGGUUCUAUGGAUUGUAAACUUCUUUUAUCUGGGAAUAAAGUCGCCUACGUGUAGGCGUUUGUAUGUACCUUAUGAAUAAGCAUCGGCUAACUCCGUGCCAGCAGCCGCGGUAAUACGGAGGAUGCGAGCGUUAUCCGGAUUUAUUGGGUUUAAAGGGAGCGCAGACGGGGGAUUAAGUCAGCUGUGAAAGUUUGCGGCUCAACCGUAAAAUUGCAGUUGAUACUGGUUCUCUUGAGUAUAGUUGAGGUAGGCGGAAUUCGUGGUGUAGCGGUGAAAUGCUCAGAUAUCACGAAGAACUCCUAUUGCGAAGGCAGCCUACUAAGCUAUAACUGACGUUCAUGCUCGAAAGUGUGGGUAUCAAACA
rnacentral:rRNA from 1 species